UUUGCCCUCCUGGUCCAGCUGAUCUAGGCUGCCGCCGCCAGUUGAUCUUCUGAAGAAUGUCUCCAGCACACCUCUAUCCAUAUAGGGCUUGCAGUUGCCGUACAACACCUGCUGGUAGCCAUGUUGGAAGACCACCGCAUUAAUUCUUCCGACAAGAACAGAUGAGUGGCUACCCCAAACUGCAUGAUAACAGUGCCCAAAACGAGUUGAUUCAUCACCACGGUCAUUUUCUGUGCAGUGUUUGGCUGCUCUAACAAGACAGGAUUGUUUUUUUUACAGAUUACCCACAAUCAUGAAACACCAAGGAGAUAAGACUCACGAACAGUCAGAAAAGCGAAUAAACUUUUUUGCCCCUCAAGACCUGAACCCAGACAGCUGUCAGCCAAGGGUCUGCUCUGAUCAUUUCAUCACUGGUUCAACAGCUGACUAUCUAGACACCCAUGUUGGCUGGAUUCCCACUGUGAAAAUGAGCAAUGCUGCAGCAGCAUCAAUUUCUACUUCUACUUCGUCCUUUUCCAGAUAUGGAAGGAUACAUCCCUCAGUUAGACAAAAUGGUUGUCAUAUGCUGUGCUUUGGUCAAUCUGAAUGAUUCUGUUGUGCCAUUUGAGGAGAGAGCACCUUCACCUUGUUGUCAUGACAAAAGUGACCCCUUACACUGUAUGAAUAUAUCAAAUGUAAUUUGGAAAAACAUGUAAAAGACUAUUGUUUAUGAUAUUGUAAACAUACUGUACUUUAAUAAUAGGCUAUAUUGUUGUAUGGGUGAAAUGAAAAGUAUUUUGUGUGUCAUCUCUGCUUUGCCUUGCCCCAUUGAAUAAAAUGUAUUUCUUAUAGCCUAA